rnacentral:sRNA from 1 species
AGAAGAAAUGGGACUCCCUCCGCGACGUGCCCGGAGCAGCUCCCUUCGCUGUGGAAGCGGCGGUGUCUUCGAAGAAACCGGAAGCCCGUGGUGACCCCUGGCGACCCGGUUUGUUUUCGGUCCGUUUCCAAACACUAAGGAAUCGAAACUCGGCGGCCUUGGGGGCGGCCCUACGUAGCCUGGCUUCUGGGAACCUAACUCUCAGAGAAGUAAUGCUGAACCUAACAGCAAAAGUAGAUGUUCAGAGCAAGUCAGUUUUUCAUUAAACAAUGAAGAAGAUGAUAUCUGUAUUCUGAAUCAUGAAAAAGCCCAUAAGAGAGAUACAGUGACUCCAGUUUCAAUAUAUUCAGGAGAUGAAUCUGUUGCUUCCCAUUUUGCUCUUGUCACUGCAUAUGAAGACAUCAAAAAACGACUUAAGGAUUCAGAGAAAGAGAACUCUUUGUUAAAGAAGAGAAUAAGAUUUUUGGAAGAAAAGCUAAUAGCUCGAUUUGAGGAAGAAACAAGUUCCGUGGGACGAGAACAAGUAAAUAAGGCCUAUCAUGCAUAUCGAGAGGUUUGCAUUGAUAGAGAUAAUUUGAAGAGCAAACUGGACAAAAUGAAUAAAGACAACUCUGAAUCUUUGAAAGUAUUGAAUGAGCAGCUACAAUCUAAAGAAGUAGAACUCCUCCAGCUGAGGACAGAGGUGGAAACUCAGCAGGUGAUGAGGAAUUUAAAUCCACCUUCAUCAAACUGGGAGGUGGAAAAGUUGAGCUGUGACCUGAAGAUCCAUGGUUUGCAACAAGAGCUGGAACUGAUGAGGAAAGAAUGUAGCGAUCUCAAAAUAGAACUACAGAAAGCCAAACAAACGGAUCCAUAUCAGGAAGACAAUCUGAAGAGCAGAGAUCUCCAAAAACUAAGCAUUUCAAGUGAUAAUAUGCAGCAUGCAUACUGGGAACUGAAGAGAGAAAUGUCUAAUUUACAUCUGGUGACUCAAGUACAAGCUGAACUACUAAGGAAACUGAAAACCUCAACUGCAAUCAAGAAAGCCUGUGCCCCUGUAGGAUGCAGUGAAGACCUUGGAAGAGACAGCACAAAACUGCACUUGAUGAAUUUUACUGCAACAUACACAAGACAUCCCCCUCUCUUACCAAAUGGCAAAGCUCUUUGUCAUACCACAUCUUCCCCUUUACCAGGAGAUGUAAAGGUUUUAUCAGAGAAAGCAAUCCUCCAAUCAUGGACAGACAAUGAGAGAUCCAUUCCUAAUGAUGGUACAUGCUUUCAGGAACACAGUUCUUAUGGCAGAAAUUCUCUGGAAGACAAUUCCUGGGUAUUUCCAAGUCCUCCUAAAUCAAGUGAGACAGCAUUUGGGGAAACUAAAACUAAAACUUUGCCUUUACCCAACCUUCCACCACUGCAUUACUUGGAUCAACAUAAUCAGAACUGCCUUUAUAAGAAUUAAUUUGGAAGAGAUUCACGAUUUCACCAUGAGGACACUUACCUCUUUCAGUGGUCCUCCCAAGAAAUUAUUUAACAAACUGAAAGGGGAUUUUGAUUAAAAUUUUGCAGAGGUCUUCAGUAUCUAUAUUUGAACACACUGUACAAUAGUACAAAAACCAACAUAGUUGGUUUUCUAGUAUGAAAGAGCACCCUCUAGCUCCAUAUUCUAAGAAUCUGAAAUAUGCUACUAUACUAAUAAGUAAACUUAAGGUGUUUAAAAAACUCUGCCUUCUAUAUUAAUUGUAAAAUUUUGCCUUUCAGAAGAAUGGAAUUGGAGAUUGUAGACGUGGUUUUACAAAAUGUGAAAUGUCUAAAUAUCUGUUCAUAAAAAUAAAAGGAAAACAUGUAUGUUGCUUCAAAUUGCAUAAUGGAACAAAUGGCAAUGUGAAUAGGUUACAUUUCUGUUGCUAUAAUGCGUAAAGAUAUUGAAAAUAUAAUGAAAUAAAAGCAUCUUAGGUUAUACCAUCUUUAUAUGCUAUUGCGUUUCAAUAUUUAAGAUUUAAAGUGAUUUUUUGGUCACAGUGUUUUGUUGAUAAAAUUUUUUUAGAAUUGAAGUUUGAAUUCUAAGACUUGAAACAACCUGAUCACUGAAGCCAACUUUGUCCCAGCACAUUCCUUAAGUCCUAAUUGGAAAAAAAAAAAUGAAAUAGUUGAAAAACUCUGGGGUGUAAACAAAUGAUUGUAACCCUACACACUAUUCAAUAAGUAGUAGAAGGAGCAUCACACAGAUUUCAGUCUAAUCUGCCCUUCUGUGGGCCAUAAUAUAAACAUAAAUGUGUGUAAUGAUAAAAAGUCAUUUUCUUCAAAGAGACUACAGCUAGCUGCACGUUGUGUAGAGCAGCUUCUAAAUUGUUAGACUUUGUGUUGAAAUGUAAUAUUCUAUUUAUUGAGAAAGUGAUUUUAAAUUAUUAUUUUUAAUCAUAGAAAUCAGGGUUUGGGCUGUAUUGAUAUUGUCAAUCAUGAAAUGUCCACACUUAUUCUAAGUGGCCAAUUAUUUGGAAAUAAUAAGGAAAUAAAGAUGGCUUCACAUGGAAGUUUAAGUUCUUUCAGGGUGGAGAUUUACUUGGUUCAUACACCUUUUGCCUGAAUUAAAGUAUUUCAUGUAGGAGGACUUUUAUCCUUUUUGAUAGACAGUUUCAUAUAUCUUGAACUCAAUAUCUCAGAUCUCUUCUACUGUAUUACUGAAUAGCAUACAUACAUAGACAAUGUUCGCCAUUCACCAGAUAUUUUUUUCUAUUAUCUUACACUUAUUCAAGCUUGUCUGUGAUUAAUGGAAUCGGUGUCAGAUGCUGGAAUUUAUUCUGACCAAUGAACACAGCUGACUCAGGGGAGUACAAUCUCCUGCCAAGUAAUAGAACCAAACCCAAUAUGCAUAAAACAAAUACAAUACUCCAGGCUUUAGCUGAAGGAAGCAACUACCUGUGUAAUAACAAAGCAGCAAAAACUAUUUCUCAUGUGGCUGCAUAGGCUGUAUAUUAUAUCUGAUCUCUAAUGUAGCUUACUGGUUUGCCUUUUUUAAAACCAAAAUUGGAAAUUUUCCUUUGUAAAGAAAAAAAGUCUUAUGAGAUAAUUGCUUGAUUAAUGUUUUGAACAAUACCAAGAAAUUGUUUAAUUAAAAUAAAUAUUUUUGUUUGAAAUUGAAG